AAUGCUUUUUACUUUAGGAUUAUUUAUUUUUUUUUGGUAUCGCAUGUCACAUUAGAAGAAAAAGGAAGAUGUGACGGAAUGCAUGUAUCCUAAUUAUGGACUAAACUGCAGUCGCGAAUGUAAAUGUACUAAGUUACAAUGCAGCCAAUUUUUUGGAUGUUGGAUAUCUACGACAACGAAAGAAAUGCAUCUUCAGAACACAAAGAAAACGCAAUUGUCAACGUUAACAGAGUUUUCUACAGGGCGACCAUCUCAAACUGUUUCAAAUAUUUCAGUUAUCAGUACAUACGAGAUAUCAUCAGAAGCAAUUAAACAAGACUUUGAAGCAAAGUCAUCUUUCUUUGACAAACCCUUAUUAAUAUGUGUCAGCGUCUUCUCAAUGUUUGUAUUAAUUCUUUUAGUGCUGUAUAUAUCGAUUCAAGUGUCUGAUAGAGUGAAAUAUAUAAGAUCCCUAAAAAGAAAUAAUAUGUAUGAAAGUGAACCUCGAAAUCACUACGAGGAAAUAGAACUCAUUGCAAUUACUGAAAUACAAUAAUCUUAGACUCUAAGUGCACACAAAUAAUUUUAAUGUAUUCUUUA